ACGAACGCUGGUGGCGUGCUUAACACAUGCAAGUCGAACGGAAAGGCCCUGCUUUUGUGGGGUGCUCGGGUGGCGAACGGGUGAGUAACACGUGAGUAACCUGCCCUUGACUUUGGGAUAACUUCAGGAAACUGGGGCUAAUACCGGAUAGGAGCUCCUGCUGCAUGGUGGGGGUUGGAAAGUUUCGGCGGUUGGGGAUGGACUCGCGGCUUAUCGGCUUGUUGGUGGGGUAGUGGCUUACCAAGGCUUUGACGGGUAGCCGGCCUGAGAGGGUGACCGGCCACAUUGGGACUGCGAUACGGCCCAGACUCCUACGGGAGGCAGCAGUGGGGAAUAUUGCACAAUGGGCGGAAGCCUGAUGCAGCAACGCCGCGUGCGGGAUGACGGCCUUCGGGUUGUAAACCGCUUUCGCCUGUGACGAAGCGUGAGUGACGGUAAUGGGUAAAGAAGCACCGGCUAACUACGUG
rnacentral:rRNA from 1 species